AUGUGAAAAGAACAAGCAGAACCGCAGUAAAGUCAAGUAUCAACAGACUACGGGUUCUCGCUGCUAUGUGGCACACUUACAGGCAUAUGUAAGUCAAAAGUAACUUGUAGAAAUACCUCCACAAUUACACACCACUUCUCUUGCAUUUGAUCUGAGACAACUUUGCUGUUAUUGUUUAUCAAUGAAACAGCAAGAGAAAAAAACAAAAACAAACCCAACAC
rnacentral:lncRNA from 1 species